UCCCAGCAGUCCAAGUCGCAGCCACAUUUGUUGGGUCUAAAACAUCCGUAGCUUGCUAUUCAAGUCUUUUGUGAAAUCGGGACUCUUAAGGUUCCGGCGUGCAAAGGAUACUGUUUAGCUAGAGACCGGAAGACGCAUCGAGUACGGAAAGGGUAGUGGUAAAAUACGUUGAUCCUUUCCGGACUAACAACAGCGAAGGCAUGGUGCGAGCACGGUUCUGACAGUGAGGGAUGAAGGCUAGGGGCGCAAAGUGG
rnacentral:rRNA from 1 species